GGCAGCAUGAUGUAGUGGUCUGAGUGUUGGACUACAACUCUGGAGACUGGAGUUCAAAUCCCCACUUGGCCA